rnacentral:rRNA from 1 species
AUUGAACGCUGGCGGCAGGCCUAACACAUGCAAGUCGAGCGAGCGGCGGACGGGUGAGUAAUGUAUGGGGAUCUGCCCGAUGGAGGGGGAUAACUACUGGAAACGGUGGCUAAUACCGCAUACUAUCGGAUGAACCCAAAUGGGAUUAGCUAGUAGGUGGGGUAAAGGCUCACCUAGGCGACGCUCCCUAGCUGGUCUGAGAGGAUGAUCAGCCAUACUGGAACUGAGACACGGCCCAGACUCCUACGGGAGGCAGCAGUGGGGAAUAUUGCACAAUGGGCGCAAGCCUGAUGCAGCCAGACCGCGUGUAUGAAGAAGGCCUUAGGGUUGUAAAGUACUUUCAGCGGGGAGGCGUUACUCGCAGAAGAAGCACCGGCUAACUCCGUGCCAGCAGCCGCGGUAAUAC